rnacentral:miRNA from 1 species
AACCCUCCCUCCCAGACCCUCCCACCUCCUGGACAGCUCACUAAGAAUGCAGCUUCACAAUGGAUGCUGUCCAGGAGGUGGGAGGGUCUGGGAGGGAGGGUC